AGUACAGCGAAAGAAUGAAAGUAAUGCUGAUAAACCUCUUUAAACAUUCCUGGAACCUGAUUUUCUGCUAAUGAACAAUGCUAACUGUUGACCAUUUACACAUCAGUGUCCUCACAUGGACAUGAUUUAAAGGACAUCGUCAUCGUCUGAGCUGGAGGCUUUACUGAGCUCUUUACGGUCCAUAAAACCACAUUAUAUGAGCAUCACUCUGAAUUCCAGUUAUUCCAGUAUGGAGAGUUAUAUUGGUUCCUUCCACUUCCUGCAGUUUGACCGUCUCGUCUCCAGCCGCACACAGUAAACCUGCAUCACAGCUUCAGCUUCAGAUUCAUCAUUUCACUCACAAACACAAUCACAUACAGUCCAUUAAAACUACACUGUGCUACAGAUUUGGGAUUUCAGAUGAUGAUGUUUUCAACUUCAAAAUGCAAAAAUAUUACAGUUCAGGGAAUCUAAUAUAUUCUGUAGCAAAUAAAUUAUUAUGUACUUCAGUAGUGCAUCUAUUACUAUAUAUGUCACAGCUAACUCUAUACAGUGUCUUGCAAAAGUAUUCAAACCCCUUAAAAGCUAUUAGGAUUAUAGGAAGAUUAUAAAUGACUUACACAUUAGAAAAUAGAAACUUAGAUCAUCAUCACAAAUCAGCACAAUGAAUCUAUAAUAUCAUGGAUUUAUAGUCUUAAGAAUCCUAAAUCAAUAACCACAAGCUGUCUUUACUAUACAGUCAGAACACUUUAAUUGCUAACAUUAUUUUAUUUGCAGAAAAGUGGACUGAACUGGAUCUUUCCCUGUCACUGGAGUGGAGAAAAACACCUUCUGUACCUUCAGGUGUGUCUCUAAACAUUACUCUCAAAGCUAAUUAAUGUACAUGAGUGUUUCUUAAACUAAUCAUGUUCCUCAGAUCAAUUAAAAGUAAAACACACUCAUAUAAUUAAAAAAAA